rnacentral:rRNA from 1 species
UACGUAGGGCGCAAGCGUUGUCCGGAAUUAUUGGGCGUAAAGAGCUCGUAGGCGGUUUGUUGCGUCGGCUGUGAAAUCCCGAGGCUCAACCUCGGGUCUGCAGUCGAUACGAGCAAACUAGAGUGUUGCAGGGGAGACUGGAAUUCCUGGUGUAGCGGUGAAAUGCGCAGAUAUCAGGAGGAACACCGGUGGCGAAGGCGGCUAUCUGGACAGAGUCUGACGCUGAGGCGCGAAAGCUAGGGGAGCAAACAGG